GUAGGGAAUAUUGGGCAAUGGAUGCAAGUCUGACCCAGCCAUCCCGCGUGCCGGAAGAAGGCCCUCAGGGUUGUAAACGGCUUUUGACGGUGAAGAAUCGACAGGAUGCGUCCUGUUUUGACGGUAGCCGUUGAAUAAGCACCGGCUAACUCCGUGCCAGCAGCCGCGGUAAUCCGGAGGGUGCGAGCGUUGUCCGGAUUUAUUGGGUUUAAAGGGUGCGUAGGCUGGAAGGUCAGUCAGCGGUGAAAAGCUGUCGCUUAACGAUAGUCUUGCCGCAGAUACUUCCUUUCUUGGAUGAGGAGGAGGCCACUGGAACGGAUGGUGUAGCGGUGAAAUGCAUAGAUAUCAUCCAGAACACCGAUUGCGAAGGCAGGUGGCUGUACCUUAAUCGACGCUGAUGCACGAAAGCAUGGGGAGCAAACAGGAUUAGAAACCCUGGUAGUCC
rnacentral:rRNA from 1 species